CUUGCUACUUUUGAGAGCGGCGGACGGGUGAGUAAUGCGUGGGAAUCUACCUGGUAGGGGGGGACAACAGUUGGAAACGACUGCUAAUACCGCAUACGCCCUACGGGGGAAAGCGGGGGAUCUUCGGACCUCGUGCUAUCAGAUGAGCCCGCGUGAGAUUAGCUUGUUGGUGGGGUAAUGGCCUACCAAGGCGACGAUCUCUAGCUGGUCUGACAGGAUGAUCAGCCACACUGGGACUGAGACCCGGCCCAGACUCCUACGGGAGGCAGCAGUGGGGAAUAUUGGACAAUGGGCGCAAGCCUGAUCCAGCCAUGCCGCGUGUGUGAAGAAGGCCUUCGGGUUGUAAAGCACUUUCAGCGAGGAGGAAAGGUUAAGUGUUAAUAGCACUUACCUGUGACGUUACUCGCAGAAGAAGCACCGGCUAACUCCGUGCCAGCAGCCGCGGUAAUACGGAGGGUGCAAGCGUUAAUCGGAAUUACUGGGCGUAAAGCGCGCGUAGGUUGUUUGUUAAUCGAGAUGUGGAAGCCCCGGACUCAACCUGAGAACUGCAUUUCGAACUGGCAAGCUAGAGUACAGUAGAGGGUGGCGGAAUUUCCUGUGU
rnacentral:rRNA from 1 species